UCCGACCUCAGAUCGGACGAGAUUACCCGCUGAAUUUAAGCAUAUAACUAAGCGGAGGA
rnacentral:rRNA from 4 species